rnacentral:rRNA from 1 species
CACAGAGAGCUUGCUCUCGGGUGACGAGUGGCGGACGGGUGAGUAAUGUCUGGGAAACUGCCUGAUGGAGGGGGAUAACUACUGGAAACGGUAGCUAAUACCGCAUAACGUCGCAAGACCAAAGAGGGGGACCUUCGGGCCUCUUGCCAUCAGAUGUGCCCAGAUGGGAUUAGCUAGUAGGUGGGGUAACGGCUCACCUAGGCGACGAUCCCUAGCUGGUCUGAGAGGAUGACCAGCCACACUGGAACUGAGACACGGUCCAGACUCCUACGGGAGGCAGCAGUGGGGAAUAUUGCACAAUGGGCGCAAGCCUGAUGCAGCCAUGCCGCGUGUAUGAAGAAGGCCUUCGGGUUGUAAAGUACUUUCAGCGGGGAGGAAGGUGUUGCGGUUAAUAACCGCAGCAAUUGACGUUACCCGCAGAAGAAGCACCGGCUAACUCCGUGCCAGCAGCCGCGGUAAUACGGAGGGUGCAAGCGUUAAUCGGAAUUACUGGGCGUAAAGCGCACGCAGGCGGUCUGUCAAGUCGGAUGUGAAAUCCCCGGGCUCAACCUGGGAACUGCAUUCGAAACUGGCAGGCUAGAGUCUUGUAGAGGGGGGUAGAAUUCCAGGUGUAGCGGUGAAAUGCGUAGAGAUCUGGAGGAUACCGGUGGCGAAGGCGGCCCCCUGGACAAAGACU